AGUGAACGCUGGCGGCAGGCCUAACACAUGCAAGUCGAACGGCAGCACAGUGAGUGCUUGCGCAUUCGGGUGGCGAGUGGCGGACGGUGCCUGGAUACCUGGGAAUAUACUUUUUAUUGGGGGCUAACGUCGGGAAACUUACCCCAACCCCGCAUACGUCGUACGUGGGAGAGCAGGGGAUCUUCCGCCAUUGGGUGAUCGUAGGUCCGAUUAGCUAGUUAGCGGGGUAGAGGCCUAAAAAGGCGACAAGCCGUAACUGGUCUGAGAGGAUGAUCAGUCACACUGGAACUGAGACACGGUCCAGACUCCGACGGGAGGCAGCAGUGGGGAAUAUUGGACAAGGGGCGAAAGCCUGAUCCAGCCAUACCGCGUGAGUGAAGAAGGCCUUCGGGUUGUAAAGCGCUUUAGGUGGGAAGGAAGAGCAGCAGGUUAAUACCCCGCUGUUCUGACGGUACCAAAAGAAUAAGCACCGGCUAACUUCGUG
rnacentral:rRNA from 1 species